AUCAACGCUGGCGGCGUGCCUCAGACAUGCAAGUCGAACGCGAAAGGUUUCCUUCGGGAACUGAGUAGAGUGGCGCACGGGUGAGUAACACGUAGGUAAUUUGCCUUUGGGUGGGGAAUAACAGCCGGAAACGGCUGCUAAUACCGCAUAAUGCAGCGGCUCGACAUCGAGACAGUUGUUAAAGCGGGGGAUCGCAAGACCCCGCGCCUAAAGAGAAGCCUGCGGCAGAUUAGCUAGUUGGUAGGGUAAUGGCCUACCAAGGCGACGAUCUGUAACCGGCCUGAGAGGGCGGUCGGUCACACUGACACUGACAUACGGGUCAGACUCCUACGGGAGGCAGCAGUCGGGAAUUUUGGGCAAUGGGCGAAAGCCUGACCCAGCAACGCCGCGUGAAGGAUGAAAUCCCUCGGGAUGUAAACUUCGCUAAGAAU
rnacentral:rRNA from 1 species